CAAUCCCCUGCCUGCACCCCCUCUGGUGAACUGGCAGUGAAUUGUCCCCAUAAUCCUUACACUCAGUGGUCUUCUGUCAGGGCCUUGCAGUUAUUGCACCGGUGAAAGAAAACAUGGAUUUGGAGGAAACCUUUCUGGAGUGUGUACACCGUUCCUUAUCCUCAUCAUAUCAGCUCUAUUUAAGGACUCUCAGGCAUAUCUCUGUACAUCCAAGUCAAAUCAUUAUAUUUUCUGGAUUUAGCCCUCGUGUUCUGAUGUAAGACUGUUGUUUUUUUUUAAUAAUGUUUGCUAUAUUUUCUUUUUAUUAAAUCAUCUGCACAUGGAUUUACAACCUGCUGUCAAUGCUGGAGAAAAUGAACACAAAUAAUUUAUUCACAUAAAUACACUAAUUAGUUGGAGAACAGCAGAUCCUCCUUAUGGCAGUGAGAUUCUACUUAAUUUGUGUUAUGUUGCCUGCACUAUUUCUGAAUUUGGUGAAAACUUAAUCUUUCCUUCACUAAAAAAUUUGUCCUUAUAUUGUAUAUAAAUGUAAUAAUACUUGUAUAUAAAGGCUCUCAGAUUUUAAAAUUUAAAACACCUGAAGUCAUGACAAAUUCUCAGUAACUACAUGGCCAGUGACAGAGAUGUGGUUGAUAUACAGUGUGUCAUGUCACCACCAUCCACGAAUCCAAAUCCUAGCAAACAGUGUGGCAUUUUAAAAUGUCUGCCAUUGACUACAUUUCCCACAACACACACAUACUGUACUUCCCCAAACACACCUGGUCAAGUAUUUACCCAGUUUAUGCUCCAUUGUUGAAUUUACAGAGCCUGUUUUUAUGGUUCUAAUCUCUCAGUUUUGACCACAGGUUCUGUCCAAUUUUACCUGUGUUGUGCUGUUUAUUGAUCCCCUGAUUAUUGCCUGUUUGUUUUUGCUUUUUACCUUAAUUCUGUGUAAUAUAUUGGAUGUUUUUCCUUUUUUUUUUGUUAAA